rnacentral:rRNA from 1 species
UUCCGUAGGGUGAACCUGCGGAGGGAUCAUUACCGAGUUUACAACUCCCAAACCCCUGUGAACAUACCAAUUGUUGCCUCGGCGGAUCAGCCCGCUCCCGGUAAAACGGGACGGCCCGCCAGAGGACCCUUAAACUCUGUUUCUAUAUGUAACUUCUGAGUAAAACCAUAAAUAAAUCAAAACUUUCAACAACGGAUCUCUUGGUUCUGGCAUCGAUGAAGAACGCAGCAAAAUGCGAUAAGUAAUGUGAAUUGCAGAAUUCAGUGAAUCAUCGAAUCUUUGAACGCACAUUGCGCCCGCCAGUAUUCUGGCGGGCAUGCCUGUUCGAGCGUCAUUUCAACCCUCAAGCCCAGCUUGGUGUUGGGACUCGCGAGUUAAACCGCGUUCCCCAAAUUGAUUGGCGGUCACGUCGAGCUUCCAUAGCGUAGUAGUAAAACCCUCGUUACUGGUAAUCGUCGCGGCCACGCCGUUAAACCCCAACUUCUGAAUGUUGACCUCGGAUCAGGUAGGAAUACCCGCUGAACUUAAGCAUAUCAAUAAGCGGAGGAAA